AAAAAUUACUAAUAAUAGAAAUAUUAGAGGGGUAUCACUACAGACACUAUGGACAUGUAAAGGGUAAUAAAUGAAAACGAUGACUGACUUUAUGCCCACACAUUUGACAACAUAGAUGAAAUGAACCAAUUCUUUAAAAGACAAAACUCUGUCAAAACUCACAUAAGAAGAAAUAGACAAUCUGAAUAGUUCUAUUCAAUAGAAAUGGAAUUAAUUAACCUUCCAAAAUAGAAAGCACCAGGCCAAGAUGAUAAAUUCCACCAAAUUUGAGGGAGAAAUUAUACCAAUUCUCUACAUGUUUUUCCCCAGAAGAUCAAAGCAUAGAGAGAACUUGAUAAUUUAUUCUAUCAGGCUCAUAUUACCCUUAUACUGAUCUCAGGUGGCCAUGAGGUGGCCACAGUGGUGAGAACACCAAACCCUAGCCACUGCACCAUGAGGGCUAGAGGAUAUGAGUUGAGCCCUGGCUCUUUGUCUGCUUUAAAGGAUGAAUACAACAAAGAGAUGGAAAAAUCAAGAAACAGGUAAAGCAUUCUUCAGAAGAAAAACGGUGUGUGUGGAUAGACACGGGCAGCCUCAGAGAGAGAAACAUGUGCUUUGGGGUGGUUUAAAUCACUUAUAUGGAGCAGUUUUUCCCAAUUUCCUGUUCUCCAGUCUUUUUUCUUUCUUUGGCUCUGAGUCCAUAUUUGUCCUGACUCAAGGCCCUCCCCUGUGUGUGCACAUUUUUUAGCCCAGAUGGAUUCUGGUGCAAGGAUUUCUGGGAAGUUGACAUCACCUAUUAUGUCCUAGUAUGCCCUCCCUUCUCCAACCUCUGAGGAACCUUUCUGUACAUGUGUAGUUCAUGAAGUCUCCUUGACCUCAAGAUAGAGAAAUAUGUGGUUUCCUUAUCGUUUACUGGAGCAGGAUUCAGUCCAUCCUUGCUCCUGCCAUUAUCUUUAUCUUGAAGUAUGUGUCCACAGGGAAUAAAUACCAGAUGCUCAGCCUGGGGCUUAUCUCAGAACCACAACCAGACAAAGAUAUUAUAAGAAAAGGAAGACAGAGAGUUCCCUUCGUGGCUCAGUGGUUAGGUUAACGAACCUGACUAGGAUCCAUGAGAGUUCAAUCCCUGACCUCACUAAGUGGGUUAAGGAUCUGACAUUUGCUGUGAGCUGUGGUGUAGCUCACAGAUGGUGCUUGGAUCCCAUGUUUCUGUGGCUGUGGCAUAGGCCAGCAGCUACAACUUCAACUUGUCUCCUGGACCGGGAACUUCCAUAUGUUACAGGUAUGGCCCU
rnacentral:lncRNA from 1 species